ensembl:lncRNA
CUUAAACUCAGAUGGCUUGGUGGCUAACCUGACAUCAACAUUUUCUCUCAAGUGUCCAUGGUACAGAAGUAAAAAAAAAAUAACUGGAGGAAUUCAUGAUUUUUUUCAUGAAGGAUUUUUUAUUUAUUUUUUUUGGUCCAGAUCUGUUAAUUUAUUAUACAAUACAUUGAAAAUACACACUAACUUGAAUACACUUUCUAUAUUAAGGACCAUAUAAAUGUUGAAAUUGUAUUAAAUUAUAAUUGUUUUGGGGCAGCAUAAAGUUAAAAUGUCAGGGUCAUACAAUUGUCCUGAUAUAAUAAUAAUAAUAACAACAAUAAUAAUAAUACUUCAAAAGAAAACCACAUUUAAUAAUUUGGGAAUAAUCUUUUAUUAUUUCUUUAAAAAUAAUAUUCACUUAUUAAUAUUUGAAAUAAUGUUAAAGUAAGUGACACUUUAGAGAGGUAAACCAUAUAGUUAAUUAUUAAUAAUUUAUUUAGAAUUUGUUAAAAUAGCUUUUUCUUUGAAAAUGCAAGGUGUAAGGAAUAUACAGUAUAUUAUUAUUUUUUCUUUGAUGGCUACAUCAAAUGGCAUUUUUAGAGUCAUUGAAUUGAAGUUUUCCUUGAAAAUGGUGUAAAAGUUUUUUUUUUUUUUUUUUUUUUUAUCACCCAAAACAACAGAGAUUCUAAGAACAACCAUACAAAGAAAUUCUAAGAAGUUGGUACAUGUGUUUCUUUCCUGUAGACACUUUUAUUUGUAAUUGAUCCAUGUGUCCACCUUUUAAUUUGUUUUUCAGAAGGAUUUUCCAAAUGCAAAAUCGAAGCUGCUUUUAUUUAAACAACUGGGCCUGAGUCUGAGUUGGAGCUGGUGAUGUGCUGUUAGCGCUGACCCUCAGUAUGGCUUCUUACUCUGACAGCCAGGGGCCGUGAGGGGCCGUUAAGGGCCAUGUGGGCCCGGCUGCAGCUGCUCCACUCUCCUUGCCCACUCAGCAGGCACACUGUGGCCUUUGAGCCCACCUGCCAUUCAAUCCAGCACAGAUGUGCCCUCAGCUGUUCUUGGUGCCAUUACUGCUCCCUGCACUUUUUAUCCUGCACCUCGGAGACCCCAAACUGCCAAACGAGGUGAAUUAUGGCCAGUUAUAUGGAGUGGACUCUGAGCCACGGGGGACAGGACAUAGUCAGAAGAACUAACCACAGUUCUGACCAUUAAAAGCCAGCCUGACACUGGCCCUUCAUCUUACCUCCUCCACGAGACGAGUGCUCCCAACCUUUGCUUCCCAUGAGAAGAGACAGAACCGAGAGAAGAGAGCCCCCUCAGCCCAGGCACGCUUCCCCCCCAUCAUUAUGAGUUAAGCAUCUCACCUCUACCUUUCUUUCUAAGAGACUCCCUCUCUUUCUUUCUCUCUUCCUCUCUCUUUAUUAUAGUGUGGCUUUUUGGCUUUGUGUUAUCUGUUUUCUUUUUGUUGCUCUUUUUUUUCUGUCUCUGCCUGUCCUUCUUUAUUUUUCUCCACAAGGUUAAUUGCAUUAGCUAAAAGAAGCCUGGCCUGUUGGUUGCUUAUGGAGGUCGCCGUUAGGCAUAUGACCCUCACAAAUCUGCUCUGGCCACCUAACACCACAGCUGAGAUAAUAGGGCUGCUGAUGAGGCUUCAAUUGGUGUCCUGGUCUGUUGGGUAUCCCAAAAUAACAGUGAAGCAGUGAUUUAGAGGUAUGAUGUUAUUCCUGUUAUGCCUGCUUGCGAGCAGGACUGCUGUGAUCUCUAAAGCGCUAGUAUAAUUGAACAUCCCCAGUGACCAAAAAAAAAAAAAAAAAAAAAAAAAAAAAAAAAAAAAAAAAAAAAAAAAAAAAAAAAAAAAAAAAAAAAAAAAAAAAAAAAAAAAAAAAAAAAAAAAAAAAAAAAAAAAAAAAAAAAAAAAAAAAAAAAAAAAAAAAAAAAAAAAAAAAAAAAAAAAAAAAAAAAAAAAAAAAAAAAAAAAAAAAAAAAAAAAAAAAAAAAAAAAAAAAAAAAAAAAAAAAAAAAAAAAAAAAAAAAAAAAAAAAAAAAAAAAAAAAAAAAAAAAAAAAAAAAAAAAAAAAAAAAAAAAAAAAAAAAAAAAAAAUUUGACAUCAGGGACAGGGUAAUAUAACAGUAUUCAACAUUUAAUUGAUGUAAAUUAAUUGAUUUAAUUGAAUAUACAUCUUUUUUAUUAAAAUAUAUAAAGAAUUUACCUAUUUUUUAAUUAAAUAACAUAAUAAACUAAAAUUCAUAUAAAACAUGUACAAGUAACUACAAAGAUUUAAAUAAUAAUAAUAAUAAUAAUAAUAAUAAUAAUAAUAAUAACACAUAAAAAAAAGAUUUAAAAAAGAUUAAAAAAAGACAUUAACAAGAUUUCAAAUAAAUAUUUAUAGUAUUUUACAAUAUAUGGACCUUUUAAAUUUUCCACGGUCUUAAGUGACCUAAUGUUGCUAGAUUUGUGAUUCAUCUUACAUCUUUAUGCCAGUAUGUAGUGCUAAGUGACUGUCUUCAUGAUUGAGUCCUUCAGUGAUUUAUUCACUCAGCUGAUUCUUUCAAACAUUGAUUCAUUCAAACAUUGAUUCAUUCACAAUUGAAACCAGUGACGUGCUUUGCGAGUGAGUCUUUGUAUCAUUCACUCAACCGAUUCAGUCACAUACACUGAUUGACCCGGGAACCAAACACCACUGCUGUGUGAUGCUUGGAGACGCCUUGGCUAGGUACAAAACAUACUGUACCCUAACCCUAACUGAAAUAUUGCAUCAAACAUGUAAGUUACUCUAUAUCAAUGUUUUAUUUAGUUGUUGUAUGUGGUAUUAUAAUAUUGGCUCGUGUGAUAUUGUACAAUUGAUAUUUUCAGCAUGACAUAGCAAUCCUUAUUUAAUACGAAUCUCAUCAACUUAAUUUUCUCCGGUUACUCUGGUAUUGUUAAAAAAAUGCCUCUUUAAUAAUGCCAUCAGUGUAAUCUGUAACUUGCUAGUUUGUAUCCAUGUGUUUGUAGUGGGGCAGUUAGUUUUAGUCUUUAGUCGGCUCUAACUGAGGUCAGUGAGGGAGGGAGUGUAUGGGCUCU